rnacentral:lncRNA from 12 species
CGGCACAAACCUGAGGAUCAAUUAAUGGUCAUUCGGCUGUUCUUACCCCAAGACACUAAAGAUUGUCCUUUCUGAAUAGGAAUCCUCCUACCACCUCUUCUUACUUCUUAGCCCCAGAAAAGCAUCCUCAUGCAAAUAAACCCCUAAGAGGAGCCCUGCAUCCACCAACUCAGAUACUUCAUCACCAUACUCGGGUCUUGCUGGUCUGGAUCAGAUCGUUUGAGACCUGAAAGGGA